CUUGGUCAUUUAGAGGAAGUAAAAGUCGUAACAAGGUCUCCGUUGGUGAACCAGCGGAGGGAUCAUUACAGAGUUGCAAAACUCCCAACCAUUGUGAACCUACCUCACCGUUGCUUCGGCAGGUGGCCCGGGGCAACCCGCGCCGCGCCGGCCCCUCUAGAGGGGCCUGGCAAACCCGUCAGAAGACCGAAACUCUGAACCAUUUAGGCCUCUCUGAGUAACUUAUACAAUAAGUCAAAACUUUCAACAACGGAUCUCUUGGUUCUGGCAUCGAUGAAGAACGCAGCGAAAUGCGAUACGUAAUGUGAAUUGCAGAUUUCAGUGAAUCAUCGAAUCUUUGAACGCACAUUGCGCCCGCUAGUAUUCUGGCGGGCAUGCCUGUUCGAGCGUCAUUUCAACCAUCAAGCGCCUGCGCUUGUGUUGGAGCCCUGCGGCUGCCGCAGGCUCCCAAACCCAGUGGCGGGCUCGUCGUCGUACCGAGUGCAGUAAAUUUACCACGCUCAGGGCACGCGACGGGUGACCGGCCGUAAAACCCCCCCCUUCUCAAGGUUGACCUCGGAUCAGGUAGGAAUACCCGCUGAACUUAAGCAUAUCAAUAAGCGGAGGAAAAGAAACCAACAGGGAUUGCCCCAGUAACGGCGAGUGAAGCGGCAACAGCUCAAAUUUGAAAUCUGGCCUCGGCCCGAGUUGUAAUUUGCAGAGGAAGCUUCUGGUGCGGCGCCGUCCGAGUCUCCUGGAACGGAGCGCCAUAGAGGGUGAGAGCCCCGUAUGGACGGAUGCCAAACCUGUGUGAAGCUCCUUCGACGAGUCGAGUUGUUUGGGAAU
rnacentral:sRNA from 1 species